GCGCGCGGUGCGUCAGGGCGGUCGGUUCGAAGGGCGCGUCCGUAACCUUAUCGAGAGUGAAAUUAAAUGGAGGAAUUUCAUUAGAUGAAUGUGAUUUCGAUGAAUUUCGUUUUCUUGUGUUUAUUUGUCGAUUGCGUUUGAUCACGUGGCCAAAUGAAGUAAGUCAUUUAAAGAUAAUGAUAUUUUAGUGUUUCAUUAAAUAAAAAAUAGAUUAUCAUCAGUGAUUAUAAACCGACAGUGACUUUCAAUCAGAGUGCCAACAGUGACAACACCACCUCGCUAAAAAAAAAAAGACAUAAUUCCCUUUGUAUCCCAAAAGAGUAGACAAACAAACAAAUAGACAAAUAACCCAUUACCUCCGAAUGCACGCAAACACUUGCUCUUUGUGCAAGUGUUAAAUAAAAAAAAAUAAAAAAGGAAAAAAGGGUAAAAACAAAGUCCUUCCAAUUCAUUCUCCCGACACCGCCAAGAUUCCUUCCAAGGUCUUCUUCAAGAUGUGGACUUUACAGCGACCCAGCAAAGACCCUGACAAGAAGUGGAGGCUGAACAAGGAGAGCAAGUACUCCUCGCUGCUCCGGCCGGGCUCCAAGAAGAACAAGGAGAACAAGGAGCCCGAGACGGUCAUCAACUACCGCACGGUCGACCGCCUCCACGACCGCAUCUCCGACCGCUUCAUCGACCCCCGAGCCGACCCGAGGCUCCUCGUCGACCCCCGCAUGGCCAUGGACCCUCGGAUGGCCAUGGACCCCCGCAUGAUGGACCCCCGUCUCUCCAUGGACCCCCGCCUGGCCAUGGAUCCCCGGAUGGACCCCAGGCUCCUCGAGCUCGACCAGGAGGCGCGCGUGGAGGCAAAGGGGGCCGCGGAGGCGUCGCGCCAGCUCCUCGACCCCAAGCCCUCGUCGCCCGAGUUCAAGCCGAAGCAGGAGGGCAAGUUCGAGGGCAAGGAGGUGCGCAUGGAGCCGGCGGGAAGGGAGGCUCCCAAAGCCAUCCGGGAGCCUAGUAGGGACCGCGCCGGGGGAGGCGAGAGGGGAGGGAAUGCUGGAGGAGUAGCUGGAGGAGGAGGCGGCGGAGGGGACCUGAGGGAACGUCUGGAGCGUCUGGAGGCUCGUCUCGGCCGCUACGAGCCCGACGGAGGCCGCGAGAAGUUCGUCGAGCGCUACGUGGAGCACGUGAGCCGCGAGAGGGAGCACAGCGCCAGGGACCGAGAGCAAGAAAGCUGUGGCCCCGCUCCCACCCUCGAGAUGGUUUCCAGGCGCAGGAUCUUAGGCCGCUCACAAGACAAUAUUCAUCUGGACAACUACCAGGAGGAGGAGGAAGAUGUUUACUACACGAAGGAACGUCUUCUUAAGGAGCACAUCCAGGAAGUGCUGAUGAAGUGGGAGCAAAUCGAUGACGAGAUCUGGUCCAAGGUGAUCGUCCUCGAGCGCAACCGCCGCGUCGCGAAGGCCUACGCCCGCGCGCCCGUCCUCACCGUCAACGGGUCAGACGACGGCUUCGACGGAUACAGGAUUGGACUUUGUGGCUUCGAUAACCCCAUGAGAGACCCAAGGACUGAUGAAAUCAAGAGACACAUUGGCCAUGGCGUGAAAGUGAAGAUGGACGACCAAGGCAACAUCCUCAUCAAACGCGUGUCCAAGGCAGGCGUAUACGUGAAAAUGACCAGCGACGACAACGCCAUCAGCAACGACAUUCUGAGGCUGCCUAACCUCGGCUUGGAGAACGAGAAGCCGGUCAUGCUUUUCGACAUGAACAAAUUCCAGCAGAACGUCAAACGCGAGAUGCGCCGCCAGUACCCGGACCGCUCCAAGCUCGAGACCCAGUGCGUGUGCCUCAUCGCCUUCGUCAAGAAUGAGCAGGACAUCUUGGACUGCCCGAUCUGGGUCAUGAUCAUCAACAUCGUCGCCAUGGACAUGCUCAAGUCCAAGCUGCCCCCGGUGAGGGUCCUGCCAAAUAUCAGGAACCGCCCGCGCAUUCCCAUCCCAGACGAAGAUCCCUACAGCGUGGCAGGAGGAUCCGGUGCCUCCUCAGGAUCCUCAGGCAAGGACCGAGCUGGCAAGGACAAACCUCCAAAGUUACCCCCAAGGGACUCCCCCAAUCACCCCGUCCCUGGCCCUCGACCCAACGGCAAGUCCGACGCCCUGGAUGAGAACGCCUUCCGCAAGCUGCAGUCUCGCAACAAUAACAACAACAACAACAGAUCCCAGGACCGCAAGUAUGACGACCCAUACUACUGCGGUUUAAGAGCCCGCAUCCCCAACUUUGCCAAGCCGAAGUCGAAGGAUAAGCAGGAUGUGGUUCGUGCCCAGUACCCACCCCCCGUUCCUGCCCACCCCAUGUGGCACACUCGGAGCUUCGAUUCGGGCAUGGCUCUUUUGCAACACAACCAAGUGCAAAAUAUUCACAGACUAGAACGCAACCCCUGCUCGUGGGUGCCUACUUUGCCUGGAAGAAAUGAAACUGAAUGGGAAUCGUACUGGGACUCAUGAAGUGUGACUAAAUCAAAAAAAAUCAGUGGAAGCGUGUAAGAAGGGCACCAACCUUUGCUCUGUUCUAGACUCUGACUUCACCGAGUCUGCCUACUCCCACAUCUACGGUCGGCUGCCACUCCCAAACCGGGGUUACCUCCCCCCACCCCCGCCCCAUCCGCGUGCCAUGUACGUGGGGGAGUGGGACUAGAGGUCAAGUAAGGUCAUGCAAGAAGGAAUAAUAAUAAUAAAAAAAGAAUAUAGAAGAAUAAAUAAGAAGAAUGCCAUUUUCAAGAGGACGUUCGCCGAUCCAUUUUGUCUCGAGCGGUGUUUCGAGACAGGUUUCCCGAAGCCUUUUGUUUUGUUGUCAGAUUCUCUGUGACCUUACUCUCGCUCGGGGGUUCUCAUCCGGACUUCUUUUUUUUUUUUUUAAUAUUCUGAUCACUCGAAACAAAAAGCGGAAGUAAAAAAAAAGAGAGAAGAAGAGCAAAUAUAUACAUAUACAUAUAUUAUUAUUCUCGCUAUUAACUUCUCGUCUGUCUAAUUUUCCCGAUGAAAAUUAAACUGACUUGAACCAGAAAGAACUUGCAUGUGGGUAUAGGUGCUUAAGGAAUACACCCCUUCCUUCAUUAAUGGAAUAUAAAUUGUUGCAUCAUGAUACUGAGUCUCCCCCCCCCCUCCCUGCCCCAACACUCUACCCCCCCCCCCCCCCGCUGUCCUCCAGACACCCGUUUAGGAUUUUAUAUAAUGCGUCUGUAUGUCAGUGACCCAAUCAGCUAUUCUGAGCCGGACGGUAGUACUCAGCGGAUAUUAUUUUCUGCGUGUUGUAAAUAGGAAAAUGAGUCUUACGAAGAAUGACACUAAGGUUUGUCGGCUCAAAGUCACUGAUCUCGUCACAAUUUUGUACAGUUACUCAUAUUUUUUUUUCUUCUUAUCAGAUAUUUUAAUAUGUAAAUUUUCGGAGCCUUGCCGUGAAUGUAGACGCAGGCGUGGUACAUGUAUGGUACGGUUGAGAUGAUACCUUUUUUCUCUUGUAAUUUCAUUGAAAUUCUCCUCAGGACCUUUUUAUGUAUCCCAUCCUCGGUCUUUCUCUGCUCUUUAAUUUUAUCACUUUCUCUCUCUCCUCCUUCCACACUCUCAUCAAGGUCCACAUUACAUCCGUCUGUACAGUGUCCGACAUGUGUUAAUUACUAACUUUUCUUAAUUGAAGUUUGAAUGGGAAUAACCUCCCAUUUUCGCCAGCCAUAUUGGUUGGCUGAUGAAGUGUACAUACUUAACUGAUGAAUACCAUUUAAUUGAUUUAAGUGAAUGCGAAGACAAGCGUAUGUGUACAUGUUUAUGUUUAUGUGUGUAUGCGUAUGUGCAAGCGUGAUUCUGCGUACUGAAGACACUGUACAUCCCAGACCACAAGAAGCCUUUGGGUUAUACAUUGUCGCAGUAACCGGGAGAGUCUUCAAGAGCCAGCUUAGAGAAAGAGCUUCAUCGCAACCCCCCCUCGACUCGCCCUUUCCUACCCCACAUACCUCAAAUCCCCCAUCACCUCCUUUGCAACCACCCUUCUCUUGCCCUCUUUAACACCACCUGUCAAGUGGAACCAGCUCUCGCAACCUGACUACCGGAUGCUCCCCCCCCCCCCCCAACCCAACUCCCCGCUUGAAGGAAGACCUGUGGGGGUCCUGCGCUUAGCUCCCAGCUCGCGGCUCUUCUAGCUCGUCUCCUUGCCGCUGCUCCGCCUCAAGGAGGACCUUGAUAUUAGUCUAUAAUAUUGACUCUAUCCACCGUCAUUUCUUGAACUUAUUAUUGGAUAUCCCUCAAGAUUUAUGUUUUUUCUUUUUUUAAAGAUGUGAGCAGUCUCUAGAGAGAGGAUAUAUAUAUAUGUGUGUGUGUAUAUAUGUAUAUAUAUAUAUAUAUAUAUAUAUAUAUAUAUAUAUAUUAUGUCAUAGCUUCAUGUCUGUGAAGUCAACUUUUUAUUUGAUCAUGACAAGCCAGUGGUCUCAAAGGUUCCUGCUAAGCUUACACCUCUUCAGUAAAUUGUAUAUAUAGAAGCUACGGUACUCGAGCAGUUAGCUUUGAAACCUCUAGUUGACUGAAGACGAUGUAUGAAAAGUUAGAAAUGAUAAGUUCAAGAAACGUAACGACAGUGUUUAUUUUCCCGUUUUGAAUUUAUUUGCCUUUGUGGUUCACGAUGAUAUUUAUAUACAGUGAUUGAUUUUUUAUUGUAAAUUUCCAUAUGACGUUUUUUAUGUAUAUUCACAUGAUGAUUAUUUUUCAUGUUCUUUUUUUAAAUUGAAGUUCCAAUUACUCAAAUGUAACUACUGUACAUGUGAUUAAAUAAUCAUUAUCAUAAU